GACGAACGCUGGCGGCGUGCUUAACACAUGCAAGUCGAACGGAGAGGCCCCUCUCGCGGGGUGCUUUAGUGGCGAACGGGUGAGUAACACGUGAGUAACCUGCCCUUCACUCUGGGAUAACUUCAGGAAACUGGGGCUAAUACCGGAUAUGAGUGCUGCCUGCAUGGGUGGGGGUGGAAAGAUUUGGCGGUGGGGGAUGGACUCGCGGCCUAUCAGCUUGUUGGUGGGGUAGUGGCUUACCAAGGCUUCGACGGGUAGCCGGCCUGAGAGGGUGACCGGCAACUUUGGGCUGGGGAACGGCCCAGGACUCCAAGGGGGGGAAGAGGGGGGGAAUAUUGACCAAGGGUGGGAGGCCUGUGGAAGAGCGCCGGGGUGGGGAAUAACGGCUUUCGGGUGGAAAACGGCUUCGAGCAUGGCCGAAGUAUGUGUGACGGUAGUGGGUGAAGAAGCACCGGCUAACUACGUG
rnacentral:rRNA from 1 species